CAUUGACAUGCAGGAUAAAAACAAAGAAAGAAGGCAAACCAAGGCUUACGAUAAGGCAAGAAGUAGGACGUGUUAAUAUAGGAUCAGCUUUCCAGCGCUGGAGAGAACUGAAGGAGCGUGAAGGCUUGCGAUGGGACGCCGAGGUCGCUUUUUUCCUUCUCGAUAGGCUUUGCGGUGGCCAUCGGUCUGGUCUCAAGCUUCUUGUGGAUGAAAUCGUACCCUCUCAUUGCUCAGAGGAGGACCUCUUCACAUCUCCAGACGUCUAUACUAAAGGUGGUCCAGUCGCAGGAUCUCAUGCUGUCUCCACUGCUGGACAGGUUUCAUUCCCAGGAAGAGAACCAACCCAAGCGGUGAGGAGUCGAUUCUCGGUGAAGGACCGAAGCCUGGAUAAAGUGGGAGGGUCGCAUCAGGGAAGACGUCUGGCAUAAAAACCUGGCGACCCCGAACAGGGAGGAGCCGAUGGACAAUAACAGCUUUGACUCAAGCGAAUUAAGACUACAGUAUGCAGAACUGCGUGGCGGAUCUGUCUAACGCUGCUUGGACUCGAUGGCUGAUGGAGUAUGAAGAAAAUAAUUGGGUUCUCUGCCUCAUAUUGAACCAUCGUAUUGCUCAAGGAAAGAAGGCAAGAGCUAGUUAGCAUGCUCCCUUGAUAGUGCCACCCCAGCGACAAGGACAAGAACACUUUCAGGCAAGAAGGGAUCUGGAUUUUAUCUGAGGAGAACAUGCAAACUUCAGGCUAACGUGGUGGAGGUGGGAAUCGGGGCCCCAACCCUGGAGGCGUGAGGCAAACGUGUUAAGUUCAUAAACCUUCUUGCUUCCUUUCAGUUUAGCACCCAGUGUGAAUGUAAAAACAGCAAACACACAAUGUUUGGCAGCGCAGAAAAAUGGACCUCAUAGUUGUUUCCAUCAAUGCUAACAAAAAGUUGUGUAGAAUACAGUACUAAGGAGCAAUCUGCACUGAUCAUGUUCAUCUGGUUCUACUGUUACAUUUACUUUUACAGCAUUUGGCAGACACCCUUAUCCAGAGCGAUGUACAUACAGCAAAUUUUUAUUUUUGUGACAAGGAUGCAGUGCAAAUACGUUCCCUAUGUGUAAAAUCCAGCCUUCAGACUGUGCUGUGAUUGUUCUCGUUAGAAAGGAAGCAGACUCGGAGAACUGUUGUCUUGAAGAACAGAACAGAACAUGAACAUAAACUGUAGUUGAGCCCAAACUAAGAUGUCACAGAGAAUGGAGGAUGAAACCUGGGCACUGCUGGACCAUAGUUCUUAACUGGAUUUUAAUGCAUCAGUAGCUUGGCAAAGCUAAGGAACUGCUGGCAUAGCUCCUCUCAGUAUCAAUCCACUCUCUAAUCCACAGGCACAGACAUCUCUAUCCUGCAGACAUUUGUGGAUUAACUCAAUGUGGUAUGCUAAAAAAAACCCAAAAAAACAACAACCGCUGUCUGAUUUCUUUAUUUUCCUGGUAUGAUUUGAUGACAUUAUUAGUUUUAAUCGGUUUGAACUAAUCAGCCUUAAUGCUCAAUGGAAUUUAAUCAGCAAAACUUAAAAAAAAAUAAAAUAAAAUCCAUAGAACCAUUUUCUGUACUGUUAUACACAAGGUCAUGGGUAACCUGGGGUCUAUUCCACGGGACUGCUGGACAAAGCAGGGGACACUACAGAUAUAGUGUUUAUCUAUCACAGUCUUGCGCGCGCACACACACACACACACAAAAUGUAGAGAUGCCAGUCAGCUUACAACCCAUGGCUUUGGACUGGAGGAGGAAACCAGGGUACCCAGAGGAAACCCCUGAAACUGGUGUUGAGCAUGCAAACACCACAUACUCAGGGCGGAGACUGGAAACGAUCCCUCAAUCCAAAACUCAACCACAUGUACUAUCCACUUAACCAGGGGUUCCCAAACUUUUCAGACCGUGACCCCCAAUAUCAAACUAGCUGUAAAUUGUGAAUGACACCGUCACUUAACUGUUGUAAUUAAUUGGAGCAAAGUUUUAUUUCCAGUUUAUUUUAAUUAUCCUAAGUUUAUACUCGCAUGAAUACAACCGUUUUUAACAUAUAAUAAAUAAAUAAAUAAAUAAAUGGAAAAAAAAACCAAAUAAAUAUCUCGCGAACUGCUGCGCUAAACCACUGUACCAGGGUUAAACAAUAUCUUCAAUAUCUUAAAUAUGUAAUAAAUAGUAUUUAAUAUUGACAAUCCACAAAAUCGAAAAAAAAAGAAAUCUAAAUGUGUUGCAAUGGACCAAGUAAAACUGUGCUAUGCUUUCAUUCUCCUGCACAUGUGGUCUCUUGCUGUUAAAGCUCGUCCACGACAAGUCUCGAGAUU